GACGAACGCUGGCGGCGUGCUUAACACAUGCAAGUCGAACGAAGAGCGAUGGAAGCUUGCUUCUAUCAAUCUUAGUGGCGAACGGGUGAGUAACGCGUAAUCAACCUGCCCUUCAGAGGGGGACAACAGUUGGAAACGACUGCUAAUACCGCAUACGAUCUAACCUCGGCAUCGAGGAUGGAUGAAAGGUGGCCUCUAUUUAUAAGCUAUCACUGAAGGAGGGGAUUGCGUCUGAUUAGCUAGUUGGAGGGGUAACGGCCCACCAAGGCGAUGAUCAGUAGCCGGUCUGAGAGGAUGAACGGCCACAUUGGGACUGAGACACGGCCCAGACUCCUACGGGAGGCAGCAGUGGGGAAUCUUCCGCAAUGGACGAAAGUCUGACGGAGCAACGCCGCGUGAGUGAGGACGGCCUUCGGGUUGUAAAGCUCUGUUAAUCGGGACGAAAGGCCUUCUUGCGAAUAGUUAGAAGGAUUGACGGUACCGGAAUAGAAAGCCACGGCUAACUACGUG
rnacentral:rRNA from 1 species